CCCGGUAGGAUGGGGAAGUCUGAUCAGCACGCCGCGUGUGUGAUGAAGGCUUUCGGGUUGUAAAGCUCUUUUGUUAGGAGAGAACUCUGGCUGGCUGAUACCCCUGGAGUCUGACGGGACCUGAGGAAUAAGCACCGGGUAACUCCGUGGCCGCAGCCGCGGUAAUACG
rnacentral:rRNA from 1 species